AUGAACGCUGGCGGCGUGCCUAAUACAUGCAAGUCGAGCGAACGGACGAGAAGCUUGCUUUUCUGAUGUUAGCGGCGGACGGGUGAGUAACACGUGGAUAACCUACCUAUAAGACUGGGAUAACUUCGGGAAACCGGAGCUAAUACCGGAUAAUAUUUUGAACCGCAUGGUUCAAAAGUGAAAGACGGUCUUGCUGUCACUUAUAGAUGGAUCCGCGCUGCAUUAGCUAGUUGGUAAGGUAACGGCUUACCAAGGCAACGAUGCAUAGCCGACCUGAGAGGGUGAUCGGCCACACUGGAACUGAGACACGGUCCAGACUCCUACGGGAGGCAGCAGUAGGGAAUCUUCCGCAAUGGGCGAAAGCCUGACGGAGCAACGCCGCGUGAGUGAUGAAGGUCUUCGGAUCGUAAAACUCUGUUAUUAGGGAAGAACAUAUGUGUAAGUAGCUGUGCACAUCUUGACGGUACCUAAUCAGAAAGCCACGGCUAACUACGUG
rnacentral:rRNA from 1 species